rnacentral:rRNA from 1 species
UACGUAGGGCGCAAGCGUUGUCCGGAAUUAUUGGGCGUAAAGAGCUCGUAGGCGGUCUGUCACGUCUGCCGUGAAAACCCGAGGCUUAACCUCGUGGCUUGCGGUGGAUACGGGCAGACUAGAGGUAGGUAGGGGAGAAUGGAAUUCCCGGUGUAGCGGUGAAAUGCGCAGAUAUCAGGAGGAACACCGGUGGCGAAGGCGGGUCUCUGGGCAACAACUGACGCUGAGGAGCGAAAGCGUGGGGAGCGAACAGG